CAGCCGCCGCGGGAAUACGUAGGUGGCAAGCGUUGUCCGGAAUGAUUGGGCGUAAAGGGCGCGCAGGCGGCUGUGUAAGUCUGUCUAGAAAGUGCGGGGCUAAACCCCGUGAGAGGAUGGAAACUGGACAGCUGAGAGUGUCGGAGAGGAAAGCGGAAUUCCUAGUGUAGCGGUGAAAUGCGUAGAUAUUAGGAGGAACGCCGGUGGCGAAAGCGGCUUUCUGGACGACAACUGACGCUGAGGCGCGAAAGCCAGGGGAGCAAACGGGAUUAGAUACCCCCGUAGUCCCUGUCUCUUAUAC
rnacentral:rRNA from 1 species